rnacentral:lncRNA from 1 species
GAAAUAUUUCUACUCAGCAUAAUGUUUUCGAGAUUUACUUAGGAGGCAAAUAUUUAAAUGGUUCUCUUCAUCAUUGAGAAGUACUUAAUUGUGCAGACUGCCCAAGAUGUGCAGUCAGCCACCUGUGGAGAGACGUUCCGUUUCUCUCCAGUUUGGGGCUGUUAAGUCAAUGUCACACAUUUCUGUAUGAGACUCUGUGUAGAUACACAUUUCACUCUGGGGUAAAGAUGCAAGUGUGGCGCUGUUAGGUUUUAAGUUGAGUAAAUGUGUCUCUAACCUUAUUAGAACCCACCACACACUUUCCUGAAGUCCCAGUUUGCCCUCCUACAGGGACUGGAUAAUCAUUCCUGUGGUUCUGUGUAUUCAACAUGACUCAGCAUGUAUGUAGUGAUGACUCACUGUGUAAUUACCUUUUAUUUCCAUGUUUACUACUGAGGGAGUCCAUUUCCUGUGUGUUGGCUUCUACUGCUUCUUUCGUCUUCCUCUUCCUGUUUCUCCUCCUCCUUUUCCUGUUCCUCCUCCUCCUUUUCUCUUUCCUCCCUCAUCCCCAACACAUGAAAGAUUUUUACUUUGAAUACAAAUCUUAAAAAAAAAAAACAACAAAUUUUGCCCCCCUCUCCAUCCUGCUUUACAGCUUUCCUUUUUUAUUUUAUUAACAGUAUCUUUCAAGGGACAGAAGAGAAGAUGUUAAUUUGGAUGGAAUUUUUAUCCUUUGGAAAUUCACAGGUGGAAGGAAGACUUUUGAACUGUAUGUCACCGGCUCUGUGCCCAUGGGAGUGAAGCUGUUCGUGGAAGUGUGCACCCAGGAGUCUUUGGUGUUGACCAAUAUCCCAUACCGUGAAGUCAUCAGUGCUGGCCUCGAAGUCUCAUGAUCAGAUACUCUCAUGCACAAAACCAAUGUCUUCCCAAGUCCCUGUGGAUCAUAUGCUUCUGGCUAUGACAUAUUCUAUAAAGCUGUGGGGUGCACUUUGAGGCUACUGCUUAAGAGUGUGCUGUCCAGAUCCCAGACCCUGCGUCUCCUCCAGAACCUGCCAAUGCCAUCGAUUUCUAUUAAUCUGAUGGAGCAUUCAUUACCCCAACAACCAACCUGCCACUGUUUGCUUAGCUUGCAUGAAAUCAGAGCUCCACAAAAAUCAAUGUGUGAAAUCUUUGUAUCAACAUAUAAGAAAUCCAAAGGUUUGUGCUGGUGGUAG